UGCAAAAAAAUGAAUCCUCUUUUGCAACCCAGAGCUCAUUGUUCAGUAUGAAUUUGGAUACAUAUAAGAAGGAACAUG
ensembl:snoRNA